GUGCCACGGUUGACUUUUGGCCCAGGGGAGCCAGUAGCUAGUGUCAUCUGUGCUUUCUCGAAGUGAGUUUCUAGCAGGGGCACGUACGCUGUCCGGCGGUCACCCGUCCGAUCCUCCUCCUGCUUUUGGUGCAGCAUAGCCCUUUGCCAUGCUUCCAGUGAGGCCCAGAAACAGGUGAAAACCUCAUCUAACCAUUGCAUAAAAGGGAUAUUGGGGUUGGAAUGGUUCCAUCCAGUUUGC